GACGAACGCUGGCGGCGUGCUUAAUACAUGCAAGUCGAACGGAAAGGCGCGGCUUUUGCGGCGCGCUCGAGUGGCGAACGGGUGAGUAACACGCGAGUAACCUGCCCCUGACAGUGGGAUAACUCUAGGAAACAGGGGCUAAUACCGGAUAGAAGCUCUUGCUGCACGGUGGGGGAUGGAAAGAGUCGGCGGUGGGGGAUGGUCUCGCGGGUUAUCGGCCUGUUGGGGGGGUAGUGGCGUACGAGGCCUUCGACGGGUAGCCGGCCUGGGAGGGUGGCCGGCGUCCUGGGGCCUGCGAUAGGGCCCAGACUCCUACCGGCCGCAGCAGUGGGGAGUCUUGCGCAGUGGGCGCACGCCUGAUACAGCAGCGCCGCGUGCGGGAUGCCGGCCUUCGGGGUGUGAACCACUUUCGCCUGUGCCGAGCAGUGAUUGACGGUAAUGGGUCAGGAAGCCCCGGCUAACUACGUG
rnacentral:rRNA from 1 species